UCUCCUCAGGUGACUGGCCAGGCGUGUGUUUGUUUUUCUACUUGGUAAUCACUCUUUUUGGUGUUCAGCAUUUGAUGAGAGCUUCAGAAAGAGGUAAACAUGUUAUCUUUCCAAACACAGCUCUGCAAGACUGCUAUAGAUCCUUGUGGAGACUGAUUCGUACACGCUGGAAGAAGAAUAGUGCCCAAAGCUUCCCAUGUGGGCAGAGACUUGAGGUGCACCUAAGAGGACUCUGAAUCCUGGGAUUUGUCCCACAUCAAUAACCAUGCUGGUUUCCAGGCUCUGAAACAAACCUGGCAUUCAGGGAAGCAGGGGGAAAGAUUCAGAAGACUAGAAAAUAUAGAGGAAGAGAGAAAACUCCCAUGGCAGAUCUGGGGGAUGUGAUGCUGGGUCACGAAGUCAUUGCCUUAACCCCCAGUAUACACCAAAGCUUCCCUAAGGUGGAAACUAGCAGAGUGUGGUAGGAGCACGCUGCUUUGCCAGCACAGCAAAGGAGCAGCUUCAGAAGGAGCUGUGUGACAGACAGAGUCACAGCAUCACAGAAUGGCUGAGGUAGGAAGGGACUUCUGGAGCCCAUCAGGUCCAACCCCUGCUCAGGGUGCCCAGGCCCAUGUCAGGUAGCUUCUGAAGAUCUCCAAGGAGUUCUCCCAUCCUUUGGCAGCUGAGAAACAAGCGGAGUCUCGUCACUGUGCUUGGCUGGAAGUGAGCCAUCUCUGCUUCUGUUGUGGGACUAAUCAGGCCAGGGGAACAAAUUAAAUGACAUGUUUCUGCCCUAGAAACUGUGAUGCUGCUGUGAAAUUUGCUUGCCUUAGGCUAAUGAUGCUGAAGGUGUCUAAAGUAUUGUCUCUCAGAAAAUUCUGCUUUUAAACUGCUUGGGAAGUGGUGACAACCUUCAGCACACUCAGAUGAGGUAGUCUUGAAAGAACAGAUUUAUUGACCCUUUUCUAUUGUUCUCAAGGGCAAUUGGGGCCAUGCUAGCAGUGGUGGUGAAUAUGCAUACAAAGAAGAAGUGGGGCUGGAGCCCAUCACCAAUGUUCUGAGAACCUGGGCAAGCUGCAAGCUUUUCCUGUUGCACCCAUGCUCAUCCCUGAAGAGCUGAAGCCCACUGCGAUUUUGGGGGACCCACCUGCUCUUUCUUCCUGUAGCUUUUGAAGAUUCAAUUAGAAAACAUGGGAUGCUGCUUUUAGUCAUUUUGAAAUCAGAGAAAUGAUUUGUCAUGCUGGAAAGAAGUAAAAGCAAACCCCAGAUUUACAGAGAACACAGGAUUUUUUUUUCUGCUUACUAUGAGAACUCAGAUGCAGCUGAAAUGAAAACUCAAUAAUUGAUCUACAUCCAUUUACAGAUCCAUCAACAUUUAUGUAGGCUGGGAAACCUUAUCCCUGUGUGCACAUUUUCCCUUUAAGCAGCUUGUACUCCGUCUGCCUGUGAAUACAUCUGCUCUCAUCGCACAGGGGAUGCUAGGUUCCUUCUAGGAAUGAGCUGGGGGCCUUUUCUUUUUUCCCUCCAGUAAGAGGACUGACAAGAUAAGCUGCUGAACUGCUACACAGCUCGUGAGAUAAGUGUGGAGUCCUUUAAAGCUCAGGACGCAACCAGGAUUUACCUCUUGAAACACAGCAGCUUGUAGCUGCUGUUUAAACAGCACAAAGUCACUUGCAUGGGUAACAAAAUCUGCCUCAAAACAAGCAGCACAGAUGUGACCUGUAAGGUCACAAAAAUCAAAAAUAAGCCUUUUUUUUUUUUUCUUUUUUCUUUGAUUGAGAUGCUAUAGUAUGGAAUGAGGCUGAGGAAAUGUACUGUGAUUCCCCAUUUGCUGCUCGGUGUCACAGAUCACAGGCUGUGCAGCCACGCCAGGCUGCAGGUCAUGUGCCUUCGUUCCCUAAAUAGAGAAAGUUCCCUGCUACGUUGUGACAUAUCUGAGAGGACUUUCACUUUUGCUUUGUCUGGUUAAUGAGCAAAGUGUUUUGCAAGGAGCACAUCCCAAGGUCUCCUCUGCUCCCAGUACGGUGCUGUGGGACACCCCACGUUCCCCAGCAGAGAGCAGGUCCCGGCUGCAGGAGCCCGCUGAGGCCUGCUCCAGGCCCUUGGACGUGUUGCAGGACAUCUCCUGCUGCUGGAAACCUGGUUCUGUGGGGAGCUACAAGCACACCCAAGUUGUCCCCUUUCCUGGGAAGGAAGAGGUGGUGUCACAGACUCACAGGAUGGCUGAGGAGGGAAGGGACCUCUGGAGGCAUCUGGCCCAACCCCUGCCCAAGCAGGGCCACCUAGAGCAGGGUGCCCAGGCCCAUGUCCAGGUGGCUUCUAAAGAUCUCCAAGGAGGAGACUCCACAGCCCCUCUGGGCAGCCUGUGCUCAGUCACUUGCACAGUAAAGACGUGCUUCCUGAUGUUCAGGUGGCACCUCCUGUGUCCCAGUUUGUGCCCGUUGCUUUGUCCUGGCAACUGGACACCAUGGAAAAAAGCCUGGCUCUGUCCUCUUGCACCCUCCCUUCUGAUAUUUACAGACCUUGGUGAGAUCCCUUGAGUCUCCUCCAGGGUGAACAGUCCCAGCUCUCCCAGCCUCUCCUCACAGGAGACGUGCUCCAGUCCCCUCAUCGUAUCGGUGGCUCUUUGUUGGACUCUCUCCAGCGCAUCCAGGUCUCUCUCAUACUGGGAAGCCCAGAAACAGACCCAAAACUCCAGGUGUGGCCCCACCAGUGCUGAAUAGAGGGGAAGGAUCACCUCCCUCAGCCCCUUGGUGAUACCUUGCCUAAAGCAGCCCACAAUACCAUUGGCCUUCUUAGUGACAAGGGCACACUGAUGGCUUCUGCUCAAGGAGAAUUUGGUGGGUUUUAAGGUGCUAAAUAUUAUGUGCUGCUGAAUAUACGUGAGCUGAUUUUUUACUUUUCUAUUUUUUUCAGAGGGAUCUUGACAAAAUUUUGUGGCUGUGGCAGCAAAAGGCACAUUGCCAAACUAAUAUUAAGCUACCUUCUCUGCUAAAAGGACUUUUUCCAAACUUCCAGCCCCAAGGUUAAUUCAGGCUGUUGAGUAGAGCUUCCCACCUACUGGAAAAUAAGUGCCUUGGUCUCAAAAGGAUCUUGUAGGAGAAGUACAGGGAAGAAGGCAGAGAGAAACUGCACAAACCAACCAGAUCUGCAAUGGGCCUAACACUGAGCAAACCAUGUCUGUAUGACUCCAGGCUCAUACCUGAAGACAUGUAAAAGGCUUCAAAGAAUUGAGCCCACUAAAAUGAAUGCAACAAGGGCCACAAGUGGAAAGACACCUGCAUGGAGAUGGCUGGGCUGUGUUUGGACCUUGCCUUCCUGCCCAUGCUGUUUCCACAGAGCCCAUCACCAUGCUCAGGCCAAGAGAUGCUUUUAGGAGGUCUGGGCUGGGAGGUCUCGCUGUCCCAGAGAGACAUUCCUCUGAUGAUACAAACAGCCAACAUCAGUGUUUAACAGAGCAAUGGUGAAUGACACAAAGCCUGAUGUGGGUUGCCCAGCCAGAAAGAGAUGUGAACUGUGGCACCAUGGUGAGAGCAGACUUCAUCUAUUCCCCUCUGAAGCUGAGUUCAGAGAAACCUGACUGCGUCCACCUGAGGCUGAAUAAAGCAGCCUGCCAAGAACGAUC